CCCUUAGAUGUUCUGGGCCGCACGCGCGCUACACUGACUACUUCAACGAGUUGUUUCCUUGAUCGAAAGGUCUGGGUAAUCUUUGAAAGGUAGUCGUGAUGGGGAUAGAUCAUUGCAAUUUUUGAUCUUCAACGAGGAAUUCCUAGUAAACGCAAGUCAUCAGCUUGCAUUGAUUACGUCCCUGCCCUUUGUACACACCGCCCGUCGCACCUACCGAUUGAAUGGUCCGGUGAAUCUUUAGGACUGUGGCUGAGGCCUUGCCUUGUGCGGGUCUGGCCGUGGGAAUUUAGUUAAACCUUACCAUUUAGAGGAAGGUGAAGUCGUAACA
rnacentral:rRNA from 1 species